UAGGGAAUCUUCUGCAAUGGGCGAAAGCCUGACGGAGCAACGCCGCGGGAGUGAUGAAGGUCUUCGGAUCGUAAAACUCUGUUAUUAGGGAAGAACAAAUGUGUAAGUAACUAUGCACGUCUUGACGGUACCUAAUCAGAAAGCCACGGCUAACUACGUGCCAGCAGCCGCGGUAAUACGUAGGUGGCAAGCGUUAUCCGGAAUUAUUGGGCGUAAAGCGCGCGUAGGCGGUUUUUUAAGUCUGAUGUGAAAGCCCACGGCUCAACCGUGGAGGGUCAUUGGAAACUGGAAAACUUGAGUGCAGAAGAGGAAAGUGGAAUUCCAUGUGUAGCGGUGAAAUGCGCAGAGAUAUGGAGAAACACCAGUGGCGAAGGCGACUUUCUGGUCUGUAACUGACGCUGAUGUGCGAAAGCGUGGGGAUCAAACAGG
rnacentral:rRNA from 1 species